rnacentral:lncRNA from 1 species
GUCAUCAAAGAAGAAAGGUGAAUUAAAAUGAAGUUUUAAUUCACUAAGUGAUUGGAUUAAAUAUAAUCAAUUGAAUUGAUGUCAAUCACCUCACUGCCUUGCUAAUUAGAACCUAAAAUGAUUGUACACCGAUACACUCUUGUAGUGAGUAAUUAAUGGAUGAUGGAAAUAAUUAAUUUGAUUAAUUAAGUGUUGUGAUUAAUUUAGAAAGUCUAAAGAAAUCAUAAAAGCGAUACAAGAUCGUUUUGGGCUUAAAGAAACGUUCGGGUUUAAUUGGGCCCAUUGGGCCUAAACCCAUUGGGCUUUUAUUCAAGCAUUGGAUGACUAGAAAUAUAUAUAAAAGCCCAAAGCCCAAACCAACACAAAGGGGCCGGCCCUUGCAAGUGGAGAGGGAGAGAUAUUUAGUCAAGUUGUUGACUAGGUUUCUUUUUGUCUAUAUAAGGAACUUUAUGGAAAUUUAAUCCUAAGGGUUUUUGUGUGUUUUUGAACAACAAAGAGGCAAAAGAAAAUAGCUCUCUAAAACCACAAAGGCCGGCCACCUAGAGGGUGUUUUAGCUAACAAUCUUUCACCCUUUUGGUUAUUCCUC